UUAAGUUCUCUUUUUCUUUCUCUGUCGAAAAUACUAAAUAAGCAUUUAGGAAAGCAGCAUACAUUUGUGAUUAGCUUAUGCAUUUAUGAUUUAACUGACUUUAUCAGUUAAGGGUACACAAAUGUACAUAAUAUGCAAACAUGUACAAAAUAUCGACAGUAAAGUAUUCGUGCUAUUUUGUGAUUGAAAUGAAGAAAUUAGUUUCUAUUUAAGUUUCAUUUAUUUAGUUAUACUCAAAAAAUGCGCAUUUCCAUAAACAUCAGCGAUCAACUUAUUGUUUUAACACGAAGAAUGAAUUGCACAUCAUAGUUUAGGUUAGGUUUUCUGUGUUGAAUAACAUCAGAAUAGUAACUUCCUGAUCUAGAAAUCUCUUUAUGGGCUGAAAUUAAAACGAUACUAUUUAUUUACUAUACUUCAACACGAAGAACAAGUCAAUAUGAAGUUUCGGAAUUUUAUUAUACAUAUACCUAUAAUAUAUGUAUACUUAAAUUAAAUGGUACUUGUAGUAGUCAUGUGAGCAAACUAUGCGCAGAAUUAAGAAAAAUCUGUAUCGUAAAUGAGCGCCAAAUGUUUAUAAAUCAUAUAUCAUUUGAGAGCUAGGAAUAUUAAAAGAAUAAUUCGUGGCUGAGAAGGGAAUCUUAAUGGUGCAACGGAAGUGCCAGGCGACCGGAAGAUUAGUUUGCUCAGUCUGCCGCGAAUCUUCGCUGGUAGUGGAUGUAUUUUUGAUGGCUCUGUGAAAAUUAAGACUGGUCACUCACCCAGCCAUAAAAGACCAGUCCCAGUGAUACGACAGAAUGUAUCUGCAGCAUAUCGAGAGAACGAGAACUUCGAUCGAGGAAGGAACGAUGGCUAG